UGUUGACCUUGACUGGUCCAAGGCAUAUUCUCUGCUCUGCGAAGGCGCAUCCUCUGCUCAGCGAAGGUGCAUUCUCUGCUCGGCGAAGGCGCAUCCUCUGCUCGGCGAAGGUGCAUCCUCUGCUCGGCGAAGGUGCAUCCUCUGCUUGGGCCUGGGGUGAGUCAUGACCACAAACAUGAACAGACCUUUUUGGCCCAGUUGGACUCUUCCUACAUCCUGUCCCUGGCGUAGUAUCUUCGUGAUAGGGAGCUGUCCACAAGGAAGCGAGUGAGAACCCUGAUACCUGCGGAUUCUCCUGGAGCCUCGGC